CCUACGGGAGGCAGCAGUAGGGAAUCUUCGGCAAUGGGCGAAAGCCUGACCGAGCAACGCCGCGUGAGCGAUGAAGGCCUUCGGGUCGUAAAGCUCUGUUGUUAGAGAAGAACAAGUACGAGAGUAACUUCGUACCUUGACGGUACCUAACCA
rnacentral:rRNA from 1 species